rnacentral:rRNA from 1 species
GACGAACGCUGGCGGCGUGCCUAAUACAUGCAAGUAGGACGCAGUUGCGAACGGGUGAGUAAAGCGUAGGUAACUGCCUAUUAGAGGGGGAUAACUAUUGGAAACGAUAGCUAAUACCGCAUACUAGUAGAUGGACCUGCGUUGUAUUAGCUAGUAGGUUGGGUAAUGGCCUACCUAGGCGACGAUACAGAGCCGACCUGAGAUGGUGAGCGGCCACACGGGGAAUGAGAAACCGCCCAGACCCCCACGGGAGGCAGCAGUAGGGAAUCUUCGGCAAUGGGGCGAACCCUGACCGCGCACCGCCGCGUGAGUGAAGAAGGGUUUCGGGUCGUAAAGCUCUGUUGUUAAGGAAGCGGUACUUAACCAGAAAGGGACGGCUAACUACGUGCCAGCAGCCGCGGUAAUAC